rnacentral:rRNA from 1 species
AAUAUAACUUUCAGCAACGGAUCUCUUGGCUCUCGCAUCGAUGAAGAACGCAGCGAAUCGCGAUAAGUAAUGUGAAUUGCAGAUUUUCCGUGAAUCAUCGAAUCUUUGAACGCACCUUGCGCUCCUCGGUAUUCCGAGGAGCAUGCCUGUUUGAGUGUCAUCGAAAUCUCAAAUCCCGGUCCGGGGGUU